UGCAACUCGACUACAUGAAGCUGGAAUCGCUAGUAAUCGCGAAUCAGAAUGUCGCGGUGAAUACGUUCCCGGGUCUUGUACACACCGCCCGUCACACCAUGGGAGUUGGGAAUGCCCGAAGCCGGUGACCUAACCGAAAGGGAGGAGCCGUCGAAGGCAGGCUUGAUAACUGGGGUGAAGUCGUAACAAGGUAAC
rnacentral:rRNA from 1 species